CAAUAGCGUAUAUUUAAGUUGUUGCAGUUAAAAAGCUCGUAGUUGGAUUUCGGUUAAGAGCGACCGGUCCGCCGUUUGGUGUGCACUGGUUGGUUUUAACUUCCUGUAGAGGACGUGCUCUGGGUUUAACGACCUGGACUCGGAGUCUACGUGGUUACUUUGAAAAAAUUAGAGUGUUCAAAGCGGGCUUACGCUUGAAUAUUUCAGCAUGGAAUAACACGAUAGGACUCUGGCCUAUCUUGUUGGUCUGUAGGACCGGAGUAAUGAUUAAGAGGGACAGUCGGGGGCAUUCGUAUUUCAUUGUCAGAGGUGAAAUUCUUGGAUUUAUGAAAGACGAACUACUGCGAAAGCAUUUGCCAAGGAUGUUUUCAUUAA
rnacentral:rRNA from 1 species